AACGAACGCUGGCGGCAUGCCUAACACAUGCCAGUCGAACGAGACCUUCGGGUGUAGUGGCGCACGGGUGCGUAACGCGUGGGAACCUGCCCUUAGGUUCGGAAUAACUCCCCGAAAGGGGUGCUAAUACCGGAUAAUGUCUUCGGACCAAAGAUUUAUCGCCUUUGGAUGGGCCCGCGUUGGAUUAGCUAGUUGGUAGGGUAAAAGCCUACCAAGGCGACGAUCCAUAGCUGGUCUGAGAGGAUGAUCAGCCACACUGGGACUGAGACACGGCCCAGACUCCUACGGGAGGCAGCAGUGGGGAAUAUUGGACAAUGGGCGAAAGCCUGAUCCAGCAAUGCCGCGUGAGUGAUGAAGGCCUUAGGGUUGUAAAGCUCUUUUACCCGGGAUGAUAAUGACAGUACCGGGAGAAUAAGCUCCGGCUAACUCCGUG
rnacentral:rRNA from 1 species